rnacentral:rRNA from 1 species
UUAACGCUGAGGUGUGAUGACGAGGCACUACGGUGCUGAAGUGAUAAAUGCCCUGCUUCCAGGAAAAGCCUCUAAGCAUCAGGUAACACGAAAUCGUACCCCAAACCGACACAGGUGGUCAGGUAGAGAAUACCAAGGCGCUUGAGAGAACUCGGGUGAAGGAACUAGGCAAAAUGGUGCCGUAACUUCGGGAGAAGGCACGCUGAUAGGUAGGUGAAGYCCCUGCGGRCGGAGCUGAAAUCAGUCGAAGAUACCAGCUGGCUGCAACUGUUUAUUAAAAACACAGCACUGUGCAAACACGAAAGUGGACGUAUACGGUGUGACGCCUGCCCGGUGCCGGAAGGUUAAUUGAUGGGGUUAGCGGCAACGCGAAGCUCUUGAUCGAAGCCCCGGUAAACGGCGGCCGUAACUAUAACGGUCCUAAGGUAGCGAAAUUCCUUGUCGGGUAAGUUCCGACCUGCACGAAUGGCGUAAUGAUGGCCAGGCUGUCUCCACCCGAGACUCAGUGAAAUUGAACUCGCUGUGAAGAUGCAGUGUACCCGCGGCAAGACGGAAAGACCCCGUGAACCUUUACUAUAGCUUGACACUGAACACUGGUCCUUGAUGUGUAGGAUAGGUGGGAGGCUUUGAAGCGUGGACGCCAGUCUGCGUGGAGCCRUCCUUGAAAUACCACCCUUUAAUGGCUGGUGUUCUAACGUAGACCCGUGAUCCGGGUUGCGGACAGUGUCUGGUGGGUAGUUUGACUGGGGCGGUCUCCUCCCAAAGAGUAACGGAGGAGCACGAAGGUUGGCUAAUCCUGGUCGGACAUCAGGAGGUUAGUGCAAUGGCAUAAGCCAGCUUGACUGCGAGCGUGACGGCGCGAGCAGGUGCGAAAGCAGGUCAUAGUGAUCCGGUGGUUCUGAAUGGAAGGGCCAUCGCUCAACGGAUAAAAGGUACUCCGGGGAUAACAGGCUGAUACCGCCCAAGAGUUCAUAUCGACGGCGGUGUUUGGCACCUCGAUGUCGGCUCAUCACAUCCUGGGGCUGAAGUAGGUCCCAAGGGUAUGGCUGUUCGCCAUUUAAAGUGGUACGCGAGCUGGGUUUAGAACGUCGUGAGACAGUUCGGUCCCUAUCUGCCGUGGGCGCUGGAGAAUUGAGGGGGGCUGCUCCUAGUACGAGAGGACCGGAGUGGACGCAUCACUGGUGUUCGGGUUGUCAUGCCAAUGGCACUGCCCGGUAGCUAAAUGCGGAAGAGAUAAGUGCUGAAAGCAUCUAAGCACGAAACUUGCCCCGAGAUGAGUUCUCCCUGAGACYUURAGUCUCCUGAAGGAACGUUGAAGACGACGACGUUGAUAGGUCGGGUGUGUAAGCGCAGCGAUGCGUUGAGCUAACCGAUACUAAUGAACCGUGAGGCUUAACCUU